ensembl:lncRNA
CAGGCCAUGGGGGUUUUCAGGAGAAAAAAAAAUAACUUAAAAAAAAAAWAUAUAUAUAUAUAUAUAGAUAUAGAUAUAUCCUGCUUCCAGGGCCCCCGGGGCCCCGCAGCCCGGUGAAGGGGCUGCCCGGGACAACAUGAAGUCCCGGCUCAGCCCACGCCACGCGGGUUUGCUUGGAGCUCCCUGGAAAGGGCAUCCUUCAGCUGGGACGGAGCACGGAUAACUUCCCAGAAAGUGGCGAAACAUCUCGCCGGUGUCCUGAAAUCUCUGCGUCAGCACCUGCAGAAAGCAAGCCACUCGGUCCUGUUUCAUAAAAUGUGGCGAGUACCUAGGGUGAAGGUAGACAAUGUCUUCCCUCCUAGGUCUGCGCAGCACAGGAAAUCCCGCUCAGGGAAGCAGCUCCCACUGCUGCACAGGGGGCAGCUGCAGCCCGCUCUGGCGCUGGGCGAGGCCGUCUGUGUUGCAAAUGGCCAUGAAGCUACCCAAAAAUCAGGCUUUGCCUACACCCACACCCACCAGCUACACUAAAUGCAGGAGGCCAAAGAUGCAAGGUGGGCGAGAGCAGAAGCAAAAGGUAUCCAAUACUGGGAAGGAGGAGCCUGGAAAGCAAUGGGGAGAAAAGCAUAUCUAAACUGCUGCACAGACACCAGGAAUCAUGGGCCACUGGCAGUUAGGCUGCAGCGAUCUCUGCAUUCAGAAGGAAAUUCAAGAUAAAACAGUCUUCACCCUGCAAGGAGCUAAGAGUGCCUGUACCCUGCCCUGACCUCAGGAAGCAUUAGAAAUACUUAAUUUUGCAUGUUGCCAUGCAAACUCAGUAUUUAUUCUGGUGACUCUAGCAAUGGGGGCCUGAGAAGGACCAUGCUGAGACUAUGCACAUGGACAGAGGUUUUCAAGGCCAGCCUCUUGUGGACCCUGAGUUCCCACCAACUCUCUCAUGAGCUCAGACUCUUCAGCAUCUCCCAGAAAUUAGACCUUCUGUCAGUAAGAUAGAUGCACACUAGUUCUGGAAAAUACAGUUUGGGAACUCAUUAGUUUAAUACCAUCAUUGAGAAAGAAUCUGACUGAAGGGAAUUCCCACAGUGUUACACAAUCAGAAACAUCUGAGUCUCAUGUUGUGGGGUUUUAAAGAUCAGCCUUCCCCUCAGAGAAAAAACAUUAUUAUAGUCUGUUCAAUACAUUUCUCUAAGCUGUUCUGAGGUAAAUUUAAGUGAAAGAGUGAGUUAAGGCAGUUGUGUCACACCAGUAAAGACAGAGAUUUGCUUUAUGACUUAGCUAGUUUCUGAGUUCUAGUUGGAAAGCUGGUUCUGUCAUGCUUUGAGUUUUGAUUUUAUAACCACUGGCAUGUGGAAGUGUUGUUUUUCCUUAUAAGAGGUAUCAAUUAGUAGUUAUCAUCAGGCAAAAGGGGGGGAAUCCUUUUAUUUGUUUAGUAUUUAAAAAAAGGGGUUACAGCAGGAGCUUGGUCUUGCUGAACUCUGCAGGUUGCCUUCUCCCCCUCGUAGGCACAGCAGCAAGCUGUACUCACAUGAGGCUCAGAUUGUACUGUUUGUGCCUGUGAAUUACUGUCUGAUGAAAUAAAGCCUCCUGGAAACAGCGAGGAAGUAUAAUC